GACGAGGUGGCCGAGUGGUUAAGGCAAUGGACUAAUGAUCUAUUGUGCUCUGAACGUGUGGGUUCGAAUCCCAUCUUUGUCG